UAAACUCUGUUUGAUUAGUUAAGUUUUCCAGGGAAAUUAAGUUCUAAUUUUCGGUCACCUGAUUUCUCUGGUGUUUUCCUCUCCCUUUCGCGCCGGCUUCGUCCCCUUCCUCUUCGUUGCCAUCCACUUCCUAAGUCGAGCUCCGACUUAGGCUUCGUCGCCAUCUCCGACUUCCUGUGAGUCGCCAUCCACCGCCGAAGACGAGCUCCGUAUUGGGCUUCGUCGCCAUCUCCGCAGAAGACCAGCUCUGACUUCGUGUUCGUCGCCAUCUCCGCAGAAGACCAUCUUCGAUUUCGAGUUUCAGACCACCGGCGCAUCUUCAUCUUCUUCCACGCGAGCGAUCUUGGUCUUCGACCAUCGAUCUGGAGUCUUCGUCCACCGGUAGCAAUCUUGGUCUCUGUUUCAGCGCGCGAUCUUCUUGUUCGCCAUCUCCGCCGAAGUCGACCUCCGAUUCCGACUUGCAGACCGCCGUUCAUCCUCGUCGCCAUCUUCGUCCACGAACGUGGGUUAUCAUUUUAUGGAUAAGAAAGAACCUGGGGAGGAUGUUACUGAGGAGGUGACUCGGGAGUCACUAAUUGCUAUUUCCUACCGCCUACCAGAGAAGGAUCUUGCUUCAGGUCUGUCCCCAGAAAAUUCGAGUAGUGAAAGUCCAGUUGAAGGUAUUAAUGGGGAUGGAGCAGAGGUGUAUAGGUCUAAGCUGAUUUCAAUCUCCUAUUCAGAGUCACCAGACACUGAGACUGUACCAGUUGCAUCGGGAGAAGUCAAGGGUUAACUUGGGUUUCUGGUUCCUUUUUUGCAAACUGUAAAAAACUACUUGUGGUCUGUUGUGAUUUUAGAGCUUGAAAUACUGUGCAUAGCUUUGUGGUCGUAAAUGACAAUAUAUAUUGUCAUGUUGACAAUAAAAUAAAUCACAUGCAUAUAGACAUAUGCAAGUUUCCUAAUGUAUGGAAAUUUGUUUUUCUUCCUGUUUUCAAGUUACUGCUCCAUUAAUUUGGUUUCAUAUUUUGAUUAAAUUAGUACCUUGUUUCUUAUUUAUACUUUUUGGGAUAAAAUGGCACUCUGGUGACUGAUGAAUAUAAACAAAUAUGUGAUCACACGGCUCACAUCUUUGCAUUUUCCAACUUAGGAUUGUUAAUAGUUUGGUUUCUAGAGUCUAAUAUGCUUGCGUUUUUGGUGUUCUGUUUUGCUCUGGAUUUGAUUAAUGCCAAGUUGUCAAAAGUCCAUUUUAUCUUGUUUCACUGAAGAUUUAGCACAGUUGAAGUCUGUACUGAAGAUGCUGGCAUGUCAAUAUUAACUAAAUGAAUUGCACUUCUGAUUAAAUCUGCAAGCAUCCUAUCCUGGUGUAGACACAUCCUUGUGAGUAGGAUGGGUUUGGUUAAUUUGUUCACUGUAAAACAAAACAAAACAAAACAUUAAAUGGAACACAUAAAUGCAUAAAUUUUCAUUUAUAGAGGCUUAUAUAAGUGUAGUAGCAUGAAUUGAUCUUUGGUUAUAUCUACACUUGCUUUUUCUAAAGUGAGAAAUUGAGCAUUAUCAUGUUAGAGAACCUGCUUGAUCAUUGGAUAAGAUAAGUAGCUUUCAUGUAAGAGCUUACUGGCAAUCCAUUUAUAUUUUUAUUAUUUUCAUCCACUCUCAGGAUUAGAAUGGGUUAAAUCUUCAGAAUCUGAUUGCUCUUUUUUUUUUUUUUUUAAUUUGUUUAUUUUGUUACUGCCAGUGCUUUUGGUAGUUGAGUUUGACUUCUUAUGACUUCUGUUAGCAGUCAUUUCCUACAGGGGAGAUAGUUAUGGUGGUCUACUAGUGUGAAGGUUGUGGUUAAUGUCAUUGGAGUUCUGUUCUGGACUAGACCUUGCAUAUGGGAUUUGAAGCCUAUAGCCCUUGUAUGUAGGGAGAAGGUAGUGUGUUUCCAAAGAAAGGGCCAAUUUGAAGGGAGUGCUUACAGCUUGCUAACCCUAACUCGGGUUUGCUUUCUCUUCCCUCACCCUUUUUCUCACUUGAUGCGCAUGGCGAUGACUUGAAAUUGUUCUUACUUUGAAUUGGACAGCUUGACUAAUGAGAGUAUUGACUAUAACUUAAAACAACAAUGCCCACUCCGUGGACGGCCACAACCCACGACAAGCAAAGGAAACAGGGCAGAGCCAUUAUAUGGUUGUGGGGUUUGAUGGCCAAUCUCUCAAUCACAAUCACACGACAUGGCACAAACAUAAUCCACUUCAGAAUCCAACUGAAAUCAAACUCACUCUUGUGCUACCACUUUAGGAGGCAUCUCAUACUUGCUGUGUUAUUUCAAAGACUUGCUGGUCAUUAUUUAGUAUAGUGGAGCAAAUUCUCGAAAAGCAUUCGUAAAAGGCCAAUCCCAAAAAGUUGAUGUUGUGGGAACUCUCUCGAGUUUGAUUACGUGUUCAAGUGUUGAAUCCAUAUACACGUUCUGAUUUUAUGUUAUAUUUUUAAGCCCAAAAGAUAUUACAACCUUAGCAUGUACACACAUUCAUAUUUCUUUUUGUGGAUCGAAUGGAAAAUUUUUGUGUAGUUUAUACA